UCCUCUUCCCCGCCCCCCCCCCCCGCCGUCCACCGAUCAUGAAAUCGCUGCGUGGACGGACACGCGUGUGCCUCCGCUUCGCCUUCUCAGCGCCUGAAGCCAAGUUUUUAAAAUAUUUUUAUACCUCUACUUCCAUAAGCCAUUUUGAAGCUGUUGUGAAUGAAGGAGAUUCACACUGAUAUAGCAUAAUGGAGAUGGAGAGAAGAAUGGAAACAGCGAAAUGGCGUGGAGAAAAUGCAUUGUAGGCCCUUUCCAUCUACCAGUUUUUUAAUCCAGAUCUCCUUGUCCAAUUAUAUGAAGAUCCAGCUCUCUUGAGAAAGGUCUAAAGCUGGAAAUGCUGAAGCAUAAGAGAAAAAGAGGACAAGAACAGCAGCAAAAUGGAUAGAUUCAGCUAUAAUGGGGGAUAAGUGCACAUUUGGAAGAUUUGAAAUAACAGAUUAAGGACAGAUCAUCAUGGAGAAAAUCCAUCUAUAUUGUUGUUAUAAUUUGGCAAUGACCUGAUGGCAUAUAAUCAAUAAUCAAUCAUUUUUUCUUAAGCCACAUUUUCUCAGAGGAAUGGCUAAGGCUUUUGUUCUUUGUUGGGCUACAUGGAGACUUAUUCCACAUGGCACAUUAGUUCUAUUGUUAGAACUGCCUCUUAUCUAAGAAGAGUGUUUAUCUGUCCAAGAGAAUGCAUAUUUAAAAUUCACAUUCACUGCCUAUGGGCUGGGUACUGGCUAUAAAUAUCCUAAGUACAUUUUUCCAGCCAGUGUUUCCAACAAUAUUUCUUAGAGAUGAGCAGGCUCUGGAAAUUUCCACAGAAAUAUAAUACAAAUGUGAUUAUAUCCUAUUCUGUGCCAAUUGUAAAACACCCAGUAUGGCCAUUGGUUUUGUCAAGAUACAGUAGAAAUUAGAAAAUGUAGCAGAGUUAUCAAAGCAGACAAUUGAUUCCUCCCGCCCCACAAAUGCUUGUGUUAUCACCAUGCCUUGCAAUUUUGCAACUUCUCUUAUCUCUUUAUUACAAAGCAUCAUGGUCUUAGCAGGACACGCUGCCCUUUCUGUGUGUAAUUUUUUUUUUACCAAUGAAUCUUAAAGCAACUAAGCUAUGUUGGUGUAAAUUACCUUAAAUGAUACAUACCAUCAUAUGCAUUUAGUAUAUACUCAUAACUUUACAUGACAAGGUAACCAGACAGCUUUUGAAGAGACAUUUUAAGCAUACUCCCAUAUCAGGAACAUUUUCCAGAUUUCAAGAUCCCCAGAUGGCUGAUAGUAGUAAUAUUAGCAGGGUCAAACAAAUCAUAAUAUGGAUCAUAGUUCAUUGUAUAUAGGAAUAGUAUUUGGGAUUACAAAACUCCAGUUGGCCACUAGAUUAGAGGAAAGACCUACCUUAUUAAUGUGUCUGUUUGCUAUCAUAUAAUGAUCAUUAACAUUUUUGCAACCUAGUUAAAUUGUGCCUGGUAUUAAUUAAUAAUACCAGUUUUAUAGAGAGACAGUUUUAUGUAGUAGUUAAAGGCAUGAGGGUAGAAACUGGGAGAGAGUGAGUUCUAGUCCUGCUUUAGGCAUAAAGCCAGCUGGGUGAUGUGGGCCAGUUUCUUUUUCUCUAGGAGGAAGAAGGCAAGGACAAAUCAUUGCCAAAAAUGUUGCCAAAAAUACCUGCAGGAAUUUGUCCAAGCUAGGAGUUAAGAUUGACUAAAAGACACACAGUAUAUUGUCUUUUUUUUUUUUACUUUGAAAUCUGGUCAACUAGUAUGUGACAUUCAAACAAAGCAAAAUGCAAAACAAGCAAGUUAGUUAUCUUUAAAUUCAUUUAAUAUAUUCACCUCAUGAAGUGAAAUAAUCUUUACUAUCAAUUGAUCUUCACUUAGUUAUCCUGAAACUCUGACACUGCUAUGAGAAUAUAUAGUAACUCCUAAGAAACAAUGUAUUUUUUGGGGGGUGGGCAGGGCAUGGGGCAAUAAAAUAGGGGAGGGGGAGCUUAUCAUGGUCAGAGUCUAGAUUACUGUAUGGGAAUCCAUCACAUUAGUAUUUUUGCCAUUUUUCCAGAGUAUCUACAGGAUUACCUUCUCCAAUCGGGGAAGGCUAGGAUACUUUUAAGGGGGAAAUACUUAUAGUAUCACAUUACUGAAAGGUUCAGAAGAAUUAUAACUACAUCCCAAUGGAGGUAGAGCUAACCCCUGUCCUUCUGUUUUUUAGAUAUACGUAUGUUAAAGAGUGAAAUUAUCUUGAGGGCUUUUCUUAUGUUUCUAACUGAUGUCAUCUUGUUCUUUUCCUUAUUUUUCACUGAUUACACUUAUCUUUCUUGUUGUGGACUGUUUAUUUGCUUUUGAUGCUUUUGACAAUGAUCCUACUCUAUAAUGGUUCUAAUUGGGUAGAUUUUUAUUUUUGAUAGAUUGUGUAAACUGCAGCAAAGUAGAUAUGUAUUUAAUCAAUAAAGUAAUGAAGCAGUAUUUCAAACUGGAAACAGCCAAUCAGUGCCAAUAGAAUGUGAUGUUUCCUUCUAUUGAUCAUGGCUUGAUAUAACUUUGGAAUCUUAGGAUACAAUUUGUAUAAACUUAUAUUUAACAGGUAAUCAAUUUUCUGAUGGUCUUUUUUCAGCAAAUGUAUAAGCUGUGAUGACCUACUUGUGAGUUUUAAACUCAUAAAAGACAUAUCAGUUCCCUAGCAUAACUAAACACAGCUACAGCUAUAUCCAUGAGUAGGAGAGAAUGUAAUUGGAAAAAAUUGCCAAUUCUUAUGUUGUCUGAUGUUUCAUUUCUUCAAAGCAUUGAAGUGAGAAGUUUGGAUUGAUUGUUUUUAAUCACAUUUUCUGAAAAGCAUGAUUGAUUGAUAAAUAAGUUUCCAAUGGCUUCCUCUGGUGUAAGAAUCUAGUGAACCUCCAGCAGAACUAGAUGGAUAUUCAGAUUAUCUGUUUGACUCAACUGAAAGAAAUCAAUGAUGCAACUGGAAAAAAUUAACCUGUUACCUGUGUUGUCACUAACACCGCUUCUCUUCUUCCUGCUUCCUACCUGAUAAAUAUGAUGACAAUCCAGAUAUAUUCAAAGGUCAGAUAUUCAUCAGCCAGUGUGAAUUAUACAUUUCAUUGUGAAUAGUUGGGCUAUGAGGUGGUACAUUAAAAACAUGCCCGGCUUGAAAUGCAGGGAAUCAUAUUCUGCUCAUGUGCUAACUAGAUCAACUGGUUAUCACUAAAGUUUCUUCAAAGGUCAUUGUUCCUUCCUGCUUCCAGCCUUGCACCUAUGACCAGAGUAGCAUCCAAAAAACUAUUUUGGAUAAACUUCUUAUGAGAAGUUGUCCUUCCCAACCAGUCUUGGUAACACAUUAGGUGUGCUGUCUUUUUCUUACUUAACUUGUCUUAAAUAUGGGUUUGAAAACAUUUUAAAAAAAUCAUUUUCUGUGGGAGGAAAAUAUAAACAACAAAAUUUAAUCCUACUCUCAUAAUGAUAUCAUAAUGCUAUGUUCUUUGAGUACUUAUGAAUGCCAUCAUUAAUAAUAUUGAUUAAAUUUGUUGCAAUAGUUUUAUACUUUUUUCUAUUCAGAAUUAAUUUAAUGAUUCAAAUUUUUUGCAGUAUUUUUAUGCCCUUUUUCUGUUCAGAAUUGGUUUAAUGAUGAUGCAAAAUGACAAAAAAAAGCAGGCAAAAACCAGAUUCUUGAGCAAUCAAAACUGGGAAUUUGUUCAGUUUAAAUGCUCUUGUCCAUCCACAAUAAUAUUUGGUUCAUUACACACCACUGCUUUGUUAUUAACAGGCAAUUAAAUGCAAAAGAUGGCAAACAACCAAGCUAAAAGGAAAUUAUAGGAAGCUACAUUAGAUUGUGCUUUUCUGAGAUGUUUCUAUGAAGUCUUAGAAGGCCUGCAAAAAGCAAGAUGUAGAACUUUUUGUUCUUUAUAAAUCCAUUCCAGGAAAGUGAUAAGCUUCUAAUUAAAACAGCUAGCAAAAACCUCUCUAAACAAUGCCUGAUGCCUGGAAAAAUUGGGCUUGCUGUAAGACAGGAAUAAACACCCUGACACAAAAAUACACAUUUAAUUUGUGUACUUCUUUAAAGAAUCUUGAAAAAGAAUGCCAGUUUGAAAUUGCACGACAAUCAUUAAGCCCUCUUUGUUUGCAAUUUAAAAUAGCACCUGAAUGACCUAACAACUCUAAUUUUACUCUUAUAACUAUGACCUUAUUUUGUUCCUGGCUUCAAAUCUUAUUAUUGUUUUGUGAUCUUCAAAAUACUGAAAUCUGCUUUCUUAAAUUGCCACAUUGCAUCCUUUAAAGUGUAAUGUUUGCUUUAUAAAUAAAUGCCAUAUAAAUUUAAUAAAUAACAAACUAAUAGCUUUCUUCCCUUUUCUGCCCAAAUAUGUUUUUUUAUAUUAUGCUUCAUCUAAACCAGAGAUCUCAAAACUUGGCAACUUUAAGACUUGUGGACUUCAACAAGUCUUAAAGUUGCCAAGUUUUGAGAUCUCUGAUCUAAACACUCUAGGUAUUGGUUAUUUAUUAGCUAAUUGCUGCCCUCAAAUACUCACAGGUCGGCCUCGGUAGAGAAGAUAUUUGAUAUGAUAGUUAGAUAAUGACAAUCCUAUCCCAAAAUGUUGGCACAAUGCCACAGUAGAGGCUUGCUGCAGGUACAAACCCUUGUUUGGGAGAGAUGCCUGAUUUAAGGCAGAAUAAGCAUCUUGUAUUUGUCCAUCCACAUUUGUAAUUGGGCAGAACAUCACAUAAAACCCUUGGUCAAGGUCUUCCCUAGGAUGGUAAGAUGUAUUUUGCUAUUCAUCCAAUGUAUUCAUGCUGGAUUUUCAUAUUUUGCAACAUCCUUUCUGGUUCAUUUUGUAGUGAUGCAUUUCUUCAAUGAUAUACCUAAGUAGAAUCAUGAUUUUAAUGAUUAUAUUGAAUUUACAUAUUUUUUAAAUUUUUUCAGUACAAGCUUAAGAUAGCUUACAUGGGGUGGGUUUUCUUUUGUAGUUUUAUUUCCACAAUAAUAAUCCUGUGAAGUAGACUAGCUUGAGUAGGAAUUAUUCUCAGUCACUUAGUAAACUUCAUGUUUGAGUGAUGAUUUAAAUCAGGAUCUUCACUGUUACCCUUAACAUCAUAGACACUAUAUGACAAUGGUUUUUCAUUGAAGAAUUUUCCAAAAUUUCCCCAAAUUUCCUUUUGUCCCCAUCUUAAUUUUUGUAAAAGCCUUAAAGAAAAAGAAAAGAUCUAAAAAUGUCUUGAAUUUUUCCACCUUUCCAAGAUGUGAGAUUUAUAUGUUUUGGGUUAGAGCUAAUUAUUUAAGUGACUAGUUUGUGCAUGGCUUCAAUAUUUUUUUGAAAGUUUUACAUUUCUACCUCUCCAUCUUAUCACUGAGCAUUGUGUUGCCCUUUUACAGUUCAAGUACUAUAACAGCUGAUACCUGAACAAUUUAGGUAUGCAUUAUUCUGACUCUCAUAUCUAUCUACUAGCUUAAGAUAGUUCAACUCAUCCCUCCAUUGUACAGAUUUUUUAGAUCUGCCAAAUUCUACUUCCAGAAUUUACAACCAAUGUGGCCAAAGAAGUUAAGAAAUCUGGAGAAUAUUCUUCCAACACAUCUGGAGAAGGUUAGGAAAAUCUAAUACAAUACUUUGUUAAAUAAAUAUUUUGAUAAUAACUACUACAUAAGAGGAAGGAAUUUCUGAUUUUGUUGCCACUUCAAUGUCAUUAAAAAAGAAUGGGAUAGAUACAGAAUUAUAAAUAUCCAUAAAUAUAUUUAAAAUAAAAAAAAUGUUUUGCUUUUGA